rnacentral:misc_RNA from 1 species
GAUGAAGAACGUAGCAAAAUGCGAUAAGUAAUGUGAAUUGCAGAAUUCAGUGAAUCAUCGAAUCUUUGAACGCACAUUGCGCCCGCUGGUAUUCCGGCGGGCAUGCCUGUUCGAGCGUCAUUUCAACCCUCAAGCCCCCGGGUUUGGUGUUGGGGAUCGGCUCUGCCCUUCUGGGCGGUGCCGCCCCCGAAAUACAUUGGCGGUCUCGCUGCAGCCUCCAUUGCGUAGUAGCUAACACCUCGCAACUGGAACGCGGCGCGGUCAUGCCGUAAAACCCCAACUUCUGAAUGUUGACCUCGGAUCAGGUAGGAAUACCCGCUGAACUUAAGCAUAUCAAUAAGCGGAGGA